CCUCGGUACGUUGUGUGGCUGUCUGAGAGCUGUCCUCCGCUAUAACAUCACCUCCAACCGACAAAUAAUGAUCCCCGACCAGCAGCAGCAGCAGACGACACGGCGGCCGCAGUCCGGGCCCGGAGCAGCGUCCCUCCGCUCGGUCGGUGCGCCAUGAGCAUGAAGCCGCUCCGGCCUCCUCAUCUCAGCCACACCGACACUCGAUCACCACCAGCAAGAUGUAUUUCAACCGGAGAGGCAAGAAGAUACACAGCGAGGGAGAGCAGUUAGUGUUGACCACCAUUAGGCAGGAGGCCUCUGAACUGCAGGACCAAGGCCAAGGCGCUACCAUGCGUGCCCGCCUCACAGACAGGUUUGACAAAACCUCGCCUCUCUCCCAUCAAUCCAACGGUGCAGGACCCGCUUGCUCGUCCGCCGGUUACCGCAAGGCAGAUGAUGAGAUGUCCGGGACCACUUCCCAGGCGGAUCCCGUAGACGCCACGGCGCGGACGGUGCUGCUCAACCGGCCACAGAGCACCAAGUUCUGCGACAACCACGUCAGCACCACCAAGUAUGGGGUUCUCACGUUCCUGCCCCGGUUCCUGUAUGAGCAGAUCAGACGGGCUGCCAAUGCCUUCUUCCUGUUCAUCGCACUCAUGCAGCAAAUCCCUGAUGUAUCACCGACCGGUCGCUACACCACACUGGUCCCCCUCAUCUUCAUCCUCACGGUGGCCGGGAUCAAAGAGAUCAUAGAGGACUAUAAAAGGCAUAAAGCAGACAACACUGUCAACAAGAAGAAGACAACAGUGCUGCGGAGCGGAGCUUGGCAGACGAUUAUCUGGAAGCAGGUGGCAGUAGGAGACAUAGUGAAGGUGACCAAUGGCCAACAUCUUCCAGCUGACAUGGUCAUUGUGUCCUCCAGUGAGCCGCAGGCCAUGUGUUACACUGAGACCUCUAACCUGGAUGGAGAAACCAACCUGAAGAUCAGACAGGGUCUCUCACUCACAGCCGGUCUUCAGACUCUGGAGGAUUUGAUAGCGAUGUCCGGUUGUCUGGAGUGUGAAGGCCCAAACAGACACCUGUACGACUUCAAUGGCACUCUGCGACUGGAGAACCAGAUUCCAGCUCCUCUGGGUCCAGACCAGGUGUUGCUGCGUGGCGCUCAGCUCAGGAACACUCAGUGGGUUGUAGGAAUCGUCGUCUACACCGGCCACGACUCUAAACUGAUGCAGAACUCUACCAAGGCGCCGCUGAAGCGUUCUAAUGUGGAGCGGGUCACCAACAUGCAAAUCCUCGUCCUGUUUGGCAUCCUGCUGGUCAUGGCGCUGGUCAGCUCUGUGGGCGCCGCCAUCUGGAACAAAGUACACACAGAAGACGCCUGCUGGUACCUGUCACGAGCCGCUGACAUCUCCACGAACUUUGCGUACAACCUGCUGACGUUCAUCAUCCUGUACAACAACCUGAUCCCCAUCAGCCUGCUGGUCACUCUGGAGGUGGUAAAGUUCACACAGGCGCUUUUCAUCAACUGGGAUGUAGAGAUGUACUACUCAGAGACGGACACACCAGCUAUGGCUCGAACGUCCAAUCUUAACGAGGAACUGGGCCAGGUGAAAUACCUCUUUUCCGACAAGACAGGAACUCUAACCUGUAAUGUCAUGCACUUUAAGAAGUGUACCAUUGCGGGAAUUACAUACGGCCACUUCCCUGAUCUUGACUGUGAUCGUUCAAUGGAGGACUUCAGCAAUCUUCCGUCCAACAGCCACAACUCUACAGAGUUUGACGACCCAACUCUCAUUCAAAACAUUGAGAAGAACCAUCUUACAUCACCUCAGAUCUGUGAGUUCCUGACAAUGAUGGCGGUUUGCCACACGGUGGUACCAGAGAGGGAGGACAACCAGAUCAUCUACCAGGCCUCCUCGCCAGACGAAGGCGCCUUGGUCAAAGGAGCCAAAGGUCUCGGCUUCGUCUUCACAGCUCGGACCCCACAUUCAGUCAUCAUCGACGCUAGAGGAAACGAGAUGAGCUAUGAACUCCUGAAUGUGCUGGAGUUUUCCAGUAACCGCAAACGCAUGUCUGUGGUGGUCAGGACGCCCAGUGGGAGGCUACGGCUGUACUGCAAAGGAGCUGAUAAUGUUAUUUUCGAGCGCCUGACGGAGGCGUCUCAGUACAAAGAUUUAACUGUUGCUCAUCUGGAACAAUUUGCCACUGAAGGCCUGAGGACGCUGUGUUUUGCGUAUGUGGACCUGGAGGAAGACGCCUACCAGGAGUGGCUGAAGGAAUACAAUCGUGUCAGCAUCGUACUCAAAGACCGCGCUCAGAAACUGGAGGAGGUUUAUGAGCUACUGGAAAAGAACUUAAUGCUGCUGGGUGCUACGGCCAUAGAGGACCGUCUCCAGGCGGGCGUCCCAGAAACCAUCGCCACUCUGAUGAGGGCUGACAUCAAGAUCUGGGUCCUCACCGGAGACAAGCAGGAGACGGCAAUCAACAUAGGUUACUCCUGUCGCCUGGUGACACACGGCAUGUCCCUCAUCAUCGUCAACGAGGACUCUCUAGAUGCUACUCGUGCCACGCUCACAGCUCACUGCUCAUCCCUCGGAGACUCUCUGAGGAAAGAAAACGAACUGGCGCUGAUCAUCGAUGGCCAGACGCUGAAAUACGCCCUGUCCUUCGAGCUCCGCCAGGCCUUCCUUGACUUGGCGUUAUCCUGCAAAGCUGUCAUCUGCUGCCGAGUGUCUCCGCUGCAGAAGUCCGAGAUUGUGGACAUGGUGAAGAAACACGUGAAGGCCAUCACGCUGGCGAUUGGUGACGGCGCCAACGACGUGGGGAUGAUUCAGACGGCUCACGUCGGAGUCGGGAUCAGCGGCAACGAGGGCAUGCAGGCCACCAACUCCUCGGACUACUCCAUUGCACAGUUCUCCUAUCUGGAGAAGCUCCUGUUGGUCCACGGGGCUUGGAGCUACAACCGGGUCACAAAAUGCAUCCUCUACUGUUUCUAUAAGAAUGUGGUCCUCUACAUAAUAGAGCUCUGGUUCGCCUUUGUGAACGGGUUCUCUGGCCAGAUCCUGUUUGAGCGCUGGUGUAUAGGCCUCUACAACGUGAUAUUUACUGCGCUGCCUCCGUUCACUCUGGGGAUUUUCGACCGGCCGUGCAGCCAGCAGAACAUGCUCCGCUUCCCACAGCUGUACCGAAUAACCCAGAACGCCGAGGGCUUCAACACCAAGGUGUUCUGGGGACACUGUAUCAAUGCACUGAUUCAUUCAAUUAUUCUCUUUUGGUUUCCGCUCAAAAUGUUAGAACACGAUUCUCCCUUCAGUAACGGUCAGGGAAAUGACUACCUGUUUGUGGGAAAUAUGGUCUACACAUAUGUGGUAGUUACAGUGUGUCUGAAGGCUGGAAUGGAGACCACCGCUUGGACCCGGUUUUCCCACCUGGCGGUAUGGGGAAGCAUGGUGCUCUGGAUGCUCUUCUUCGCCGUCUACUCCGCCAUCUGGCCCACCAUUCCCAUCGCCCCCGACAUGCUGGGCCAGGCUGGCAGGGUGAUGCAGUGCUGGCACUUCUGGCUGGGCCUGGUCCUGGUGCCUACUGCGUGUUUACUCAAAGACUUUGCUUGGACAGCCACUCGUCGCACUGUGAGGAAGUCUCUGCUGGAGGAGGUGCAGGAGUUGGAGGCGCGAGCCGUCGAUCCCGGGGCUGCAGUGCUUAGAGACGCCAGCGGCCGCAGGUGGAUGAAUUUGAACUGCUGUACAGAUCUGUCUAAACGAACGAGCCCAUCUGCUGACAAGAGUCUUUAGGAAAACACCUUCGAGCGUCGGACGCUCAAACUCGGUGCAGCAGACGGUGUCACAUGGCUAUGCCUUCUCUCAGGAGGAGCACGGCGUGGUGUCCCAGUCCCAGGUGGUUCGCUCCUACGACACCACCCGCCAGCGCCCCAGCCUCUAGCCCCACCCCUGAUCAAGGCGUUGGCUCACCGUAGCAACGGUUGUCCAGGUGACAGCGGAGACAGACUUAAAGUGACACCCUCACGCCGGGUGACCGACCCCUGCUGUGGCCUUACUGGAACAAUGACCUGACCCCUCGCUGGGGGCGGGGGGUCACGGUCAGGCGUGGUGGCCGUCGCUGGCGCAUGGAGGACCGACUUGGGAAAAGGGACCAGGCCACAUAUACUGAAUAAACAUUGUUGAAACUCACAAAAAGCUGCACAGGCAUGAGCAAUCACAUCCGCGCACAGACAUAACAAGUCAAACUCAGAGACUGCUCCUCAUAUCUGUAUACCCCCCAGACUGGGUUUGCUUCAUGCCGCUGUGUGUCAACAUGUGUGUGUGUGUGCGCGUGUGCGUUCCAGUGCGUCUGUAUCUGCCUGUGCAUGUGUGUCUGCACGCAUUGGCGCUCCCGUGUUUGUGUGCAUGUGUGUGUCGGUCCAUGUGCGUUUCGCUUCCCCCCCCCCAUCUCCCGCUUACGAGGCGGCUGGUCUGUCAUCACAUGCCGACGCGGAAAGAGACGUCAUAAUAAACGCACACACUCACACACGUACAGAUGAAUUCCUUUUAAAGGGAUGGAGGGAAGCGUAGACCUGCCGGAGCCCUGCACCCCCAGCUACAGGCCGUAACCCCCCCCCACCCUCAUUCCAUCGCAGCACCAAGCCUCACUGCCAAACACCACAGAGAUGCCACUGAGGCAGAACCCCAAACUGGACCACCACCCUGCUGCAACCCCUCCUGCCCCGCUGGGACCUCCUCUUGCUUAUCUGCCCUCCUUAUCUCCUCCAUCUCAUAGCCGCUCUGCAGCCUCCAUGUCUCUCCUCCAUUUAAAAAAAAAAUCCACUUUAUUUUUCCUGUUUUUUUUUUUUUUUUUUUUUUUUUAUUCUGACCGCUCCUGUGAUCCCCGAUGCCACCUGUCUAGCAUCACCGGCUGAUGUAGAAGCAGCAUGCCAGGCAUCAGCGCUUCCUUCGGUUCUGUUGGACUUCCAUUCUUUACUGGACUGUUUCUUUCCUUUUUUUUUAUUAUUAUUAAAGUGGACAUUAAUGUG